GACGAACGCUGGCGGCGUGCUUAACACAUGCAAGUCGAACGGAAAGGCCCUGCUCUUGUGGGUUGCUCGAGUGCCGAACGGGUGAGUAACACGUGAGUAACCUCCCCUUGUCUUUGGGAUAACUUCACGAAACUGGGGCUAAUACCCGAUAGGAUCUCCUGCUGCAUGGUGGUGGUUGGAAAGUUUCGGCGGUGGGGGAUGGACUCGCGGCUUAUCAGCUUGUUGGUGGGGUAGUUGCUUACCACGGCUUUGACGGGUAGCCGGCCUGAGAGGGUGACCGGCGACAUUGGGACUGAGAUACGGCCCAGACUCCUACGGGCGGCAGCAGUGGGAAAUAUUGCACAAUGGGCGGAAGCCAGAUGCAGAAACGCCGCGUGCGGGAUGACGGCCUUCGGGUGGUAAACCGCUUUGGAAUUAGACGAAGCGUGAGUGACGGUAAUGGGUAAAGAAGCACCGGCUAACUACGUG
rnacentral:rRNA from 1 species